rnacentral:rRNA from 1 species
GUGAGGAAUUUUGCGCAAUGGCCGCAAGGCUGACGCAGCAACGCCGCGUGGGUGAUGAAGGCCUUCGGGUCGUAAAGCCCUGUCAGGUGGGAAGAAAGGCCUGGAGAGGAAAGGUUUCAGGUUUGACGGUACCACCAGAGGAAGCACCGGCUAACUCCGUGCCAGCAGCCGCGGUAAUACGGAGGGUGCGAGCGUUAUUCGGAAUUACUGGGCGUAAAGCGCGUGUAGGCGGGGGGACAAGUCUGAUGUGAAAGCCCUGGGCUUAACCUGGGAAGCGCAUUGGAAACUGGUUUUCUUGAGUACUGGAGAGGAAGGGGGAAUUCCCGGUGUAGAGGUGAAAUUCGUAGAGAUCGGGAGGAAUACCAGUGGCGUAGGCGCCCUUCUGGACGGUAACUGACGCUGAGACGCGAAAGCGUGGGGAGCAAACAGGAUUAGAUACCCUAGUAGUCC